GCAAAUUAUUAUGAAAAACACAUACUGAAAAUGACUAAAUUCAACAAACACAUAACCUUAGAGACAGAUAACAGGCUGAGGAGAUUGCACAAAAUCAUGGCUGAGUGCGGAGUCCAAGGAAAUUGCGCAUAACCAGAUCACAAAAACAAUCACAGGACAGCAUCAUCCUACUCCAAAUCACUGUCAUCAUCAUCUUCACCUCCUCUGUUCUUCUUCAGUUUGGUUGUCCCUCCCUCCUUGCUAAUAGGAAGCUUCAUAUUCCCAAAGGGAGUGUCCACAUCGAUGUUUCCCUUGAUAGAAUAGCCAGUACCCCUCCCCCGGAUCAUAUCCCAUAUAGCAGAUCCGAAAUCCUUCGGCUUGAAAGUGAUGGGAAUCUUCAUCCGACAGACUCCCUGCUUCUCAAUUUUUAUGGACUGUGUGAGCUCCGCAGAUGCAAUGCUCUCAUUAGAGAGCCAGAACUCGUAGUCCAGCAUAUUGAGCCCCAGAUCAAAGUCGU
rnacentral:misc_RNA from 1 species